UACAGAGGUCUCAAGCGUUGUUCGGAUUCAUUGGGCGUAAAGAGCUCGUAGGCGGCUUGGCAAGUCGGGUGUGAAACCUCCAGGCUCAACCUGGAGACGCCACUCGAUACUGCUAUGGCUAGAGUCCGGUAGGGGACCACGGAAUUCCUGGUGUAGCGGUGAAAUGCGCAGAUAUCAGGAGGAACACCGGUGGCGAAGGCGGUGGUCUGGGCCGGCACUGACGCUGAGGAGCGAAAGCGUGGGUAGCAAACAGG
rnacentral:rRNA from 1 species